AUUGAACGCUGGCGGCAUGCCUUACACAUGCAAGUCGAACGGCAGCGCGGGAGCAAUCCUGGCGGCGAGUGGCGAACGGGUGAGUAAUACAUCGGAACGUGCCCAAUCGUGGGGGAUAACGCAGCGAAAGCUGUGCUAAUACCGCAUACGAUCUACGGAUGAAAGCAGGGGAUCGCAAGACCUUGCGCGAAUGGAGCGGCCGAUGGCAGAUUAGGUAGUUGGUGAGGUAAGGGCUCACCAAGCCUUCGAUCUGUAGCUGGUCUGAGAGGACGACCAGCCACACUGGGACUGAGACACGGCCCAGACUCCUACGGGAGGCAGCAGUGGGGAAUUUUGGACAAUGGGCGAAAGCCUGAUCCAGCCAUGCCGCGUGCAGGAUGAAGGCCUUCGGGUUGUAAACUGCUUUUGUACGGAACGAAACGGUCUUUUCUAAUAAAGAAGGCUAAUGACGGUACCGUAAGAAUAAGCACCGGCUAACUACGUG
rnacentral:rRNA from 1 species